CAUAAAUCUGGAUCAGAGAGACGGUGAGCAGGACUGCCAUCACCUGGCUACUGAGAGCACCCUCUGUCUGCAAAUACAGGGGCUCUGUCUCCUUGCUGUCUUGGGAUCUCUUCUCUUCAGUGACGCUGAGUUCCCAGCCAACCUUCAGCAAUGAAGAUCCUUUACCUGCUCUUUACUGUUGUCUUCUUGGUGCUCCAGGGUGUCUCAGAAUUCUCCCAGGCUGAGAGGAGCACCUUGGCGUGUGGAGAGCUUGGAGGUGCCUGCUUCCCUCUAAGAUGUCCGUCCAAUUCUGUGCACGUUAGAAGUUGCUAUCCACAGGGCGUUUGCUGUCGAAGGAGAUUUUUUUGACUGAUUGUCUAAUCAGGAUCUCUGGGAAUCUGGCAGACAGCCUCUUGCUUCUAAAAUCAUCAGAUCCUGCUUCAAUGGAACCCUGAAGUGCUGCUUAUGUGGGCUAUAAAGAACCUUGUGAGCCGGAGAAAUUCCAGAAGGGAGCCCUUGUGUCCCCCAUAUAAGAUUUGUUAUUCUCCUUUUAAUAAAAGCAAGCUGGUCUGAGAUCAUA